rnacentral:rRNA from 1 species
UGAGGAAUAUUGGUCAAUGGACGCAAGUCUGAACCAGCCAAGUAGCGUGCAGGAUGACGGCCCUAUGGGUUGUAAACUGCUUUUAUAUGGGGAUAAAGUGGGGAACGUGUUCCCUUUUGCAGGUACCAUAUGAAUAAGGACCGGCUAAUUCCGUGCCAGCCGCCGCGGUAAUACGGAAGGUUCGGGUGUUAUACGGAUUUAUUGGGUUUAAAGGGAGCGUAGGCCGUUUGGUAAGCGUGUUGUGAAAUGUAGGAGCUCAACUUCUAGAUUGCAGCGCGAACUGUCAGACUGGAGUGCGCACAACGUAGGCGGAAUUCAUGGUGUAGCGGUGAAAUGCUUAGAUAUCAUGAAGAACUCCGAUUGCGAAGGCAGCUUACGGGAGCGCAACUGACGCUGAAGCUCGAAGGUGCGGGUAUCGAACAGG